AGAGAUAUUUGUGAGACCCUCAAGUCUUUUCGACAAAUCACUAAAGAGUGUUAUUUACGGAAAUAUAUAUACAUAUAUUUUAAAUUUACCCAAAAAAAAUCACUAAAGAGUGUUAUUGGGUGUAUUUGAGUUUUGAGUGUUAGUCACUAUUUGUAUAUUCUUUUCAUUUUCAUAGGAAAAAUUUUUGCUCUGUUUUUUAUGAUCUCCAUCAAUAUGGUGGAGUGAAGGAAGUUGCUGCCGUAAAUGAAACAGAGCAGAGAAUUCGUGGUGUUCGGCUCCAACACAUAACAAAAAGCUAUUGAAUGUGGUAUUCUCAAACCCUAUGAAUUAAGAUUCAAAUCAUGCAGUAGCAGAAGGUGUAACGUCAGAAAUUACUCACAAGAAAGAGGGAAUGUUAAAGGUUGAGUCUAUCCGUGUAAUGGUGCAAUGUUUGAAGCAGAAAGGCCACGCGGUAGCAGUCACAGGCGAUGGAAACACCGAUGCCACUCAAAGAAGCAGAUAAUUGGGCUCUCCAUGGAGAUCCAUGGCACAGAAGUGGCAAAAAAGAGCUCAGAUCGAUAGAAUCAUUUGGAUGAUAAUUUCUCCUCUUUGGUGACAGUUCAGAGGUAGGGCAGGUGUGUUCACAACAGCAUUCAAAAGUUUCACGUGGACGAAAAGGUCAAGGACCAUGGUUAUCAAAAUCGCGAUUCUGAGUCGUAGAAUCGCACGAUUCUGCGACUCAGCUCUUAAAAUCGACUCAAAUCGGAUCAGAAUCGCCCAAUUGGUAGAAUCGGUAGUAGAAUCGUUGGUAGAAUCGUAGAAUAGUACGAUUCUACACGAUUCUACGGAUUCUAUCAAAAUGUGUGUUUGGGCGGGCUUUAUACUAUUUGGUCUUUGGGCCUUUAUUCUUUUAGUUGUUUGGGCCAAAGCCUGGCCCAAAUUUUGUAUAGAAAUUUACUAAAUUAUAUAUUUAAUUAUUUAUUCUAUAAAUCAUAAAAUACAAAACCUACUCUAUUAUAAUAUUAGAAACGGGGACCCUAUCUCAGAGAGGAGAGGAGUGAGGACUGAAAGGAGGCGGCAGUGCAGAGGCUUAUAACGAGCAGAUCAGAAUCAUCGAAUCCAUACAGCAGCUUGCAGGUUCGGCCAGGAUGCAGAAGCUCUAUAUGUUGGAAGGCUGAGGAAGCUCUAUAUGUUCCAAUGCAUGCACGCCAUUGAUCCCAUUUCAGCCUUUCAGUAUUAGCAAACCUCUUUAAAAGAACUAGUGUCAUCCCAACGAUCCCUAGAAACAGUCAGUUCUUCAGUAUCCCCUUAAAUAUGUUCUUCUUCUCCAGCUUCCUUGCAUUAAACUCACUAAAAACUUGGCAGAGAAGAAAACUAUUGAAAUUGAUCAGCGUGUCCUUGACCUUCUUCUUCACAUGAAACUUUUGAAUGUUGUUGUAAACACACCUGCCCCACCUCAGAACUGUCACCAAAGAGGAGAAAUUAUCAUCCAAGAUGACUAUAUCUGAGCUCUCUUUUGCCACUUCUGUGCCCUGGAUCCCCAUGGAGAGCCCAAUAUCUGCUUCUUUGAGUGUGGGUGCAUCGUUGGAAACGUGGCCGCCUUCUUCAAACAUUGCACCUUCAGAAGCUUGUCAAACGGGGAUGAUCGAUCUGGCCAUUACAUGGAGAGACUCAACCUUUAACAUUCCCUCUUUCUUGUGAGUAAUUUCUGACCGUUACACCUGCUGCUACUGCAUGAUUUGAAUCUUAAUUCAUAGGGUUUGAGAAUAGCACAUUCAAUAGUUAUAGAUUUUGCAUCGAAGGCAAUGGACAGCAAAUUAGCACAUGGAAUGAUCGAUGUAUGGUUUCCUGGUUUCACCAGAAACUUCAAGAGUGUGUGGAGAAUGUAAAUCAAAGCAACUUGUUGGAUCAUGAGACUAAUAUUGAAGUUAUUAAUGUUCAUUCAGGAAAAAUAUAUAUUUAUUCUA